AUUGCUUGCGAACUGCUAGAACAUCAAAGUAAUGCUGAUGACUACUGUGUGGUUUGUUCCAUGCUGGAAGCCGAUCCAGACUCCAGUAUGAUUGAAAUGGUGCAGUGCGAGUUUUGUUCCAGAUGGGCACAUUUUGGAUGUGCUCAAUAUGAGAGCAGCCUGGUCAAGUACCUGUGCGACAAAUGUGCAUAAUUUGUACACUGUUUCUUUUUCAGUUCUUUCUCCCUGUGUUCUGUUGAUCUAUAAACGUCAAAUAUAUGUAUCUGUAAAUAUAUUCAGUAAAUAUAUACUGUAACUAUAAUGGAGUGAGUUCAUUGUCAAAGUUUAUAUAGUCAGGUGUUCCAAUCACUUCAGUGGUGACAGCUGUAUAACUUAAGCACCUUGGCAUGCAGACUGCUUCUACAAACAAGUGCCAAACCAUGCUACCUUUGUUAUUAUAAAGUAGAAGCAUACU